rnacentral:rRNA from 1 species
GAUGAACGCUGGCGGCGUGCCUAAUACAUGCAAGUCGAGCGAACAGACGAGGAGCUUGCUCCUCUGACGUUAGCGGCGGACGGGUGAGUAACACGUGGAUAACCUACCUAUAAGACUGGGAUAACUUCGGGAAACCGGAGCUAAUACCGGAUAAUAUAUUGAACCGCAUGGUUCAAUAGUGAAAGACGGUUUUGCUGUCACUUAUAGAUGGAUCCGCGCCGCAUUAGCUAGUUGGUAAGGUAACGGCUUACCAAGGCAACGAUGCGUAGCCGACCUGAGAGGGUGAUCGGCCACACUGGAACUGAGACACGGUCCAGACUCCUACGGGAGGCAGCAGUAGGGAAUCUUCCGCAAUGGGCGAAAGCCUGGCGGAGCAACGCCGCGUGAGUGAUGAAGGUCUUCGGAUCGUAAAACUCUGUUAUUAGGGAAGAACAAAUGUGUAAGUAACUAUGCACGUCUUGACGGUACCUAAUCAGAAAGCCACGGCUAGCUACGUG